rnacentral:rRNA from 1 species
UACGAAGGGGGCUAGCGUUGCUCGGAAUCACUGGGCGUAAAGCGCACGUAGGCGGAUUGUUAAGUCAGGGGUGAAAUCCUGGAGCUCAACUCCAGAACUGCCUUUGAUACUGACGGUCUUGAGUCCGGGAGAGGUGAGUGGAACUCCGAGUGUAGAGGUGAAAUUCGUAGAUAUUCGGAAGAACACCAGUGGCGAAGGCGGCUCACUGGUCCGGUUCUGACGCUGAGGCGCGAAAGCGUGGGGAGCAAACAGG